CAAAUAUAUGGCGGACGUUUUGGUCGGUGGCGAAACAGAUUGUUAAAGGUUUGGUUUCUUUUCAUUUAUAUUUCUUGCUAUUAUUUAGAAAUAACGAAUGUAUCAGUAAAGAAAGGUUAUAAAUCUUAAUUUUGACGUGACAACUGAAAAAUGGCUGCAAUUUCUUGAAUAGUACUGUAUUCAAGUAAUUCAACAUGACAAUAUCUUGUUAAUACUAAUUAUAGGAUCGAUUUGAUUAAAGAAAGAACCUCAAAAUUUUGGAGAAUUUAUCAGAUUAGAUAAAAGUUCAGAUGAAGUAUACCGUAUGUGCUGGUUUGAGGAUAAUGAAAAAAGGUAUAAGCAUUGCCAAGGGUUUGAAGGUGAUCCGCGAAUUAAGGUAUCAUCAGUUUUAAUACCGUCACGGCGUCACCUAAAUUUCAAAAGUCGAAUUUCGAACGAAAAAAUCCAAGCUUUUUGCUAGCAUUACUAUCAUUACCCUGGUUCCAGAGGCUCUUUGCGAGGCGAAAGAAAGAGAGGCGAGAAGCUAAAGCCUGCCGCACACGAGAGCAACUUUCUGAGCUAUAAACCGCCUAUAAAGGCCUUGAGGAAAAUAUCUGUCGUGUUUGAUAUUUUUCACCUGCGAGGAAAAAAGUCUCAACGUCUGCGGAUGUUUUGAGCUUAUGCACCAGUCGAUGUAAAUCUCCCCAACCAGGGAGGGGUGGGGGAUUUAAUGGGGAAAAUGGUCAGUUUUGAUUGUAAAUAUGUCCCCGAUGAUGAGGGACUUUACUCUGUCUAACGCCAGAUGAUUUUACUCGUCAAGGGGAGAGUGCUGGCGCUUAAUGGGUUAACUGGCCUAUCUGCCCAUGUGUCUAAUUAACCCAUUGAGUCGCAUUGCACCCUGACGCACCCUACUUUAGUGUUUUACUCUGUCUAACGCCAGACGAUUUUACUGAUCAAUACAAUAACAAAAAUGAAUUAGAUUUUCUAUUGCUGAAAUCUAUGAAAUAUACAAACUAUUUUCCCAGGGUCGAGAGACAUGCAGGGACAUUGAUUAAUUACCCUUUCCUUAGGGCGGGGACAAUUUCGCUCUUUUACUAUCCCUCUAAGUCAAAAUCCCUGCCCCUCCCCUGUUGGAGGGGGGGGGGGGGUACAUUGACUGGUGCAUUAGUGCUCAGCUGUGAGAAUCAAUUAGCCAAUGAGAAAUCAUAGUUUCUUCAUGUGACUUUGGACACAAUGGAGGAAAAUGCAAACGAUUUUGUCAAUUAUGUUGUUGUUGAGCAGCUUUCCCAAUGUGUGCAGUGAAAAUGCAUAGCUGAGCUUCGCUGCCACACGAGGCGGUUAGCUCAGGAAGUUUCUUGUGUGCGGCAGGCUUAAGAGGCGAGAAGAGUAUAGCUAUAAUUGGCUUACAGUAAUGUUUAUUUCCCAAACCGGUUUGACAUAUUUUUACAAAUGGCCAAUCACAUGCGAGAUUCAUAUUCUGAACCUAAUCAAGUGGGAUUUGCAACCAAUGUGACCAGAGGCUCUUCCUUCUUGCCUCCCGUUUUUUUUGCCUUGCGAAGAGCCUCUGCAACCAGGGUAAGCUAUCAUCAGCUAUGUCUUUGACUCUGUUUUGCUGUGGCUUCCCUAAAUGUAUAAACAAAGUCAGUAUUUGCCAAUGCAACAGAAAUCCAUUUUUGAAACACAUUUGGGAUACAAAUUUGACAAAUAAUCAAAAAAUAUUUCACACGGCUGCCAAAUAACACAAGAAGGCAGGUGACAACAAAACGAUACCUUAAUUCCAUCGGCCUUACCCACCCUGGACCACCACCUUUGCCGACCCCGGACCCAUCGAAAAUUUCAGAUUUUUUUCCUGACCCCGGACCCAUCGAAAAUUUCAGAUUUUUUCCUGACCCCGGACCCAUCGAAAAUUUCAGAUUUUUUUCCUGACCCCGGACCCAUCGAAAAUUUCAGAUUUUUUUCCUGACCCCGGACCCAUCGAAAAUUUCAGAUUUUUUUCCUGACCCCGGACCCAUCGAAAAUUUCAGAUUUUUUUCCUGACCCCGGACCCAUCGAAAAUUUCAGAUUUUUUUCCUGACCCCGGACCCAUCGAAAAUUUCAGAUUUUUUUCCUGACCCCGGACCCAUCGAAAAUUUCAGAUUUUUUUCCUGACCCCGGACCCAUCGAAAAUUUCAGAUUUUUUUCCUGACCCCGGACCCAUCGAAAAUUUCAGAUUUUUUUCCUGACCCCGGACCCAUCGAAAAUUUCAGAUUUUUUUCCUGACCCCGGACCCAUCGAAAAUUUCAGAUUUUUUUCCUGACCCCGGACCCAUCGAAAAUUUCAGAUUUUUUCCUGACCCCGGACCCAUCGAAAAUUUCAGAUUUUUUUCCUGACCCCGGACCCAUCGAAAAUUUCAGAUUUUUUUCCUGACCCCGGACCCAUCGAAAAUUUCAGAUUUUUUCCUGACCCCGGACCCAUCGAAAAUUUCAGAUUUUUUCCUGACCCCGGACCCAUCGAAAAUUUCAGAUUUUUUCCUGACCCCGGACCCAUCGAAAAUUUCAGAUUUUUUCCUGACCCCGGACCCAUCGAAAAUUUCAGAUUUUUUCCUGACCCCGGACCCAUCGAAAAUUUCAGAUUUUUUCCUGACCCCGGACCCAUCGAAAAUUUCAGAUUUUUUCCUGACCCCGGACCCAUCGAAAAUUUCAGAUUUUUUUCCUGACCCCGGACCCAUCGAAAAUUUCAGAUUUUUUUCCUGACCCCGGACCCAUCGAAAAUUUCAGAUUUUUUUCCUGACCCCGGACCCAUCGAAAAUUUCAGAUUUUUUUCCUGACCCCGGACCCAUCGAAAAUUUCAGAUUUUUUUCCUGACCCCGGACCCAUCGAAAAUUUCAGAUUUUUUUCCUGACCCCGGACCCAUCGAAAAUUUCAGAUUUUUUUCCUGACCCCGGACCCAUCGAAAAUUUCAGAUUUUUUUCCUGACCCCGGACCCAUCGAAAAUUUCAGAUUUUUUUCCUGACCCCGGACCCAUCGAAAAUUUCAGAUUUUUUUCCUGACCCCGGACCCAUCGAAAAUUUCAGAUUUUUUUCCUGACCCCGGACCCAUCGAAAAUUUCAGAUUUUUUUCCUGACCCCGGACCCAUCGAAAAUUUCAGAUUUUUUUCCUGACCCCGGACCCAUCGAAAAUUUCAGAUUUUUUUCCUGACCCCGGACCCAUCGAAAAUUUCAGAUUUUUUUCCUGACCCCGGACCCAUCGAAAAUUUCAGAUUUUUUUCCUGACCCCGGACCCAUCGAAAAUUUCAGAUUUUUUUCCUGACCCCGGACCCAUCGAAAAUUUCAGAUUUUUUCCUGACCCCGGACCCAUCGAAAAUUUCAGAUUUUUUCCUGACCCCGGACCCAUCGAAAAUUUCAGAUUUUUUCCUGACCCCGGACCCAUCGAAAAUUUCAGAUUUUUUCCUGACCCCGGACCCAUCGAAAAUUACAGAUUUUUUCCUGACCCCGGACCCAUCGAAAAUUACAGAUUUUUUCCUGACCCCGGACCCAUCGAAAAUUUCAGAUUUUUUCCUGACCCCGGACCCAUCGAAAAUUUCAGAUUUUUUCCUGACCCCGGACCCAUCGAAAAUUUCAGAUUUUUUCCUGACCCCGGACCCAUCGAAAAUUUCAGAUUUUUUCCUGACCCCGGACCCAUCGAAAAUUUCAGAUUUUUUCCUGACCCCGGACCCAUCGAAAAUUUCAGAUUUUUUCCUGACCCCGGACCCAUCGAAAAUUUCAGAUUUUUUCCUGACCCCGGACCCAUCGAAAAUUACAGAUUUUUUCCUGACCCCGGACCCAUCGAAAAUUACAGAUUUUUUCCUGACCCCGGACCCAUCGAAAAUUACAGAUUUUUUCCUGACCCCGGACCCAUCGAAAAUUUCAGAUUUUUUCCUGACCCCGGACCCAUCGAAAAUUUCAGAUUUUUUCCUGACCCCGGACCCAUCGAAAAUUUCAGAUUUUUUCCUGACCCCGGACCCAUCGAAAAUUUCAGAUUUUUUCCUGACCCCGGACCCAUCGAAAAUUACAGAUUUUUUCCUGACCCCGGACCCAUCGAAAAUUACAGAUUUUUUCCUGACCCCGGACCCAUCGAAAAUUACAGAUUUUUUCCUGACCCCGGACCCAUCGAAAAUUACAGAUUUUUUCCUGACCCCGGACCCAUCGAAAAUUUCAGAUUUUUUCCUGACCCCGGACCCAUCGAAAAUUUCAGAUUUUUUCCUGACCCCGGACCCAUCGAAAAUUUCAGAUUUUUUCCUGACCCCGGACCCAUCGAAAAUUACAGAUUUUUUCCUGACCCCGGACCCAUCGAAAAUUACAGAUUUUUUCCUGACCCCGGACCCAUCGAAAAUUACAGAUUUUUUCCUGACCCCGGACCCAUCGAAAAUUUCAGAUUUUUUCCUGACCCCGGACCCAUCGAAAAUUUCAGAUUUUUUCCUGACCCCGGACCCAUCGAAAAUUUCAGAUUUUUUCCUGACCCCGGACCCAUCGAAAAUUUCAGAUUUUUUCCUGACCCCGGACCCAUCGAAAAUUUCAGAUUUUUUCCUGACCCCGGACCCAUCGAAAAUUACAGAUUUUUUCCUGACCCCGGACCCAUCGAAAAUUACAGAUUUUUUCCUGACCCCGGACCCAUCGAAAAUUACAGAUUUUUUCCUGACCCCGGACCCAUCGAAAAUUUCAGAUUUUUUCCUGACCCCGGACCCAUCGAAAAUUUCAGAUUUUUUCCUGACCCCGGACCCAUCGAAAAUUUCAGAUUUUUUCCUGACCCCGGACCCAUCGAAAAUUUCAGAUUUUUUCCUGACCCCGGACCCAUCGAAAAUUACAGAUUUUUUCCUGACCCCGGACCCAUCGAAAAUUACAGAUUUUUUCCUGACCCCGGACCCAUCGAAAAUUACAGAUUUUUUCCUGACCCCGGACCCAUCGAAAAUUUCAGAUUUUUUCCUGACCCCGGACCCAUCGAAAAUUUCAGAUUUUUUCCUGACCCCGGACCCAUCGAAAAUUUCAGAUUUUUUCCUGACCCCGGACCCAUCGAAAAUUUCAGAUUUUUUCCUGACCCCGGACCCAUCGAAAAUUUCAGAUUUUUUCCUGACCCCGGACCCAUCGAAAAUUACAGAUUUUUUCCUGACCCCGGACCCAUCGAAAAUUACAGAUUUUUUCCUGACCCCGGACCCAUCGAAAAUUACAGAUUUUUUCCUGACCCCGGACCCAUCGAAAAUUACAGAUUUUUUCCUGACCCCGGACCCAUCGAAAAUUUCAGAUUUUUUCCUGACCCCGGACCCAUCGAAAAUUUCAGAUUUUUUCCUGACCCCGGACCCAUCGAAAAUUUCAGAUUUUUUCCUGACCCCGGACCCAUCGAAAAUUUCAGAUUUUUUCCUGACCCCGGACCCAUCGAAAAUUACAGAUUUUUUCCUGACCCCGGACCCAUCGAAAAUUACAGAUUUUUUCCUGACCCCGGACCCAUCGAAAAUUACAGAUUUUUUCCUGACCCCGGACCCAUCGAAAAUUACAGAUUUUUUCCUGACCCCGGACCCAUCGAAAAUUUCAGAUUUUUUCCUGACCCCGGACCCAUCGAAAAUUUCAGAUUUUUUCCUGACCCCGGACCCAUCGAAAAUUUCAGAUUUUUUCCUGACCCCGGACCCAUCGAAAAUUUCAGAUUUUUUCCUGACCCCGGACCCAUCGAAAAUUUCAGAUUUUUUCCUGACCCCGGACCCAUCGAAAAUUUCAGAUUUUUUUCCUGACCCCGGACCCAUCGAAAAUUUCAGAUUUUUUCCUGACCCCGGACCCAUCGAAAAUUUCAGAUUUUUUCCUGACCCCGGACCCAUCGAAAAUUUCAGAUUUUUUCCUGACCCCGGACCCAUCGAAAAUUUCAGAUUUUUUCCUGACCCCGGACCCAUCGAAAAUUUCAGAUUUUUUCCUGACCCCGGACCCAUCGAAAAUUUCAGAUUUUUUCCUGACCCCGGACCCAUCGAAAAUUUCAGAUUUUUUCCUGACCCCGGACCCAUCGAAAAUUACAGAUUUUUUCCUGACCCCGGACCCAUCGAAAAUUUCAGAUUUUUUCCUGACCCCGGACCCAUCGAAAAUUUCAGAUUUUUUCCUGACCCCGGACCCAUCGAAAAUUUCAGAUUUUUUCCUGACCCCGGACCCAUCGAAAAUUUCAGAUCGCUUUUUGUCAGAGGAAACGCCUUGCACCUGAGUUUGUGGGUUUGAUUCUCUCUGUAGUCAGUCGACGCUCUGCCGAAAGUUGUGGGUUUUCUCCACAGGAAAAGUAGGUUAGGAGAAACACAUUUAAGAAAGAGCUGUGUACCAUAAACUUCCGACUAUAAGGCCCCCCCCCCCGAAUAUAAGCUCCCCCAAAUAUAAGCCUGUACCACAUAUACUAACGCUCACCUCAUUCCAAAUAUAAGUUCCCCCGAAUAUAAGCCCACUCGUAUAUAAGCCCACCCUGGUAUAAGCCCAUCAAAAAUCGCUUACAAAAGUAUAUAUAUAAGCCCAGGGCUUACUAGUCGUAGGUUUACGGUAUAUAAAUAGGUAAGCGUAUAAUACCUGAUUUCAUUAUAUAAAUGCUAAUUGUAAUUAAAGAAUUAAUUGAACAUGUGAACAAUACUUUUGGCUAUUUUUGGCUAGCUUCUCCCACUUAGUAUGUCAUACCUAUAAAUACAUCGAUACUAUCAGUGUCAGUAAAAAUAGUGUUGAUUGAUUUAGACAUGUUUGUUCCACAGGUGACACACUUUGUGUGAGUAGAGGAACAAUUUGAUGUUCUAGUUUUGGUAAGUUUAAAUAUCAUUUAAUUUUGACACGAGGAGACAAUUUUUUGACAGUAUUUUGAUGAUUGGCAAGUGAACUUUCCUUUAUUUUGCGUAAGCAAUGUUAAUUGUAUGUCAUGUACGUCUAUACACC